UACAGGGGGUGCAAACGUUGCUCGGAAUCAUUGGGCGUAAAGUGCACGUAGGCGGUUCGUUAUGUCGGAUGUGAAAGCCCUUGGCUUAACCGAGGAAGUGCAUCCGAAACUGGCGAGCUAGAGUACUAAAGAGGAUCGCGGAAUUCCCGGUGUAGAGGUGAAAUUCGUAGAUAUCGGGAGGAACACCAGUGGCGAAGGCGGCUACCUGGACCAGCACUGACACUGAGGGCACGAAAGCGUGGGGAGCAAACAGG
rnacentral:rRNA from 1 species